CCUACGGGAGGCAGCAGUGGGGAAUUUUGGACAAUGGGCGCAAGCCUGAUCCAGCAAUGCCGCGUGAGUGAAGAAGGCCUUCGGGUUGUAAAGCUCUUUUGUCAGGGAAGAAACGGUGGAGGCUAAUAUCCUUUGCUAAUGACGGUACCUGAAGAAUAAGCACCGGCUAACUACGUGCCAGCAGCCGCGGUAAUACGUAGGGUGCAAGCGUUAAUCGGAAUUACUGGGCGUAAAGCGUGCGCAGGCGGUUUUGUAAGUUUGUCGUGAAAUCCCCGGGCUCAACCUGGGAAUGGCGAUGAAGACUGCAAGGCUAGAAUCUGGCAGAGGGGGGUAGAAUUCCACGUGUAGCAGUGAAAUGCGUAGAGAUGUGGAGGAACACCGAUGGCGAAGGCAGCCCCCUGGGUACAAGAUUGACGCUCAUGCACGAAAGCGUGGGGAGCAAAACAGGAUUAGAUACCCUGGUAGUCCACGCCCUAAAACGAUGUCUACUAGUUGUCGGGUUUUAAAUAACUUGGUAACGCAGCUAACGCGUGAAAGUGACCGCCNGGAGGUACGUACGCGAGAGUAAACUACAAGAAAGUAGAGCGNGAGAGAGACGAACGGACGACGACGAGGGAGGAGG
rnacentral:rRNA from 1 species